rfam:Colius striatus contig17066, whole genome shotgun sequence.
GCAUCGGAAUCUUUCCCAUUCUGUGUGCCACAGUACCAGAGUGGGGAUACACGAUGCCACAGGAACGCAGGGCAAAUCCAGACGAGCUCCCUUUCACCACAGUGGGACUUGUCUCUACAGCUUUGCAACAUUU